rnacentral:rRNA from 1 species
UACAGAGGGGGCAAGCGUUGUUCGGAAUUACUGGGCGUAAAGGGCGCGUAGGCGGCCUUCUACGUCGAACGUGAAAUCCCUGGGCUCAACCCAGGAACUGCGUCCGAUACUGGAAGGCUUGAAUCCGGGAGAGGGAUGCGGAAUUCCAGGUGUAGCGGUGAAAUGCGUAGAUAUCUGGAGGAACACCGAUGGCGAAGGCAGCCCCCUGGGCUGACACUGACGCUCAGGCACGAAAGCGUGGGGAGCAAACGGG